rnacentral:rRNA from 1 species
CAAUAGCGUAUAUUUAAGUUGUUGCAGUUAAAAAGCUCGUAGUCGGAUUUUGGCUGAGAACGAUCGGUCCGCCGUUAGGUGUGCACUGAUUGGUCUCAGCUUCCUGGUGAGGAGGUGUGCUUCACGGCCACUUAGUCACCGUGGUUACUUUGAAAAAAUUAGAGUGUUCAAAGCGGGCUUACGCUUGAAUAUAUUAGCAUGGAAUAACACCAUAGGACUCCUGUCCUAUUUCGUUGGUCUCGGGACGGGAGUAAUGGUUAAGAGGAACAGUUGGGGGCAUUCGUAUUUCAUUGUCAGAGGUGAAAUUCUUGGAUUUAUGAAAGACGAACUUCUGCGAAAGCAUUUGCCAAGGAUGUUUUCAUUGA